AGUAAAAGUCGUAACAAGGUCUCCGUUGGUGAACCAGCGGAGGGAUCAUUAAAAAUGAGUCCGAAAGACCUAAAACCUACCGUGCUCCCCUACGUGGACAACAGGAAAGCCCUUCGGGGCAUAGGAAAUCUGAGAAGUUGAAGAACUGCGCCCCGGCGCAUGACUAAAACAAAAAAUCACAACCCAUAACAAUGGAUCUCUUGGCUCUGGCAUCGAUGAAGAACGCAGCGAAAUGCGAUAAAUAAUAUGAAUUGCAGAAUUCAGUGAAUCAUCGAGUUUUUGAACGCACAUUGCGCCCUCUGGUAUUCCGGAGGGCAUGUCCGACCGAGCGUCACUAGCACCGCUCGAGCCCGCCCCGCGAGGGGCGGAGGCUCGGAGUUGGGGACCCGCGGGGAGCUCCCUCCCCGCGGCCCUGAAAAGCAGUGGCGGCCCGCCAUGGCAGCCCCCCAGCGGAGUAGAACACUUUACGUCUCGCUCGGGAGCCCUGGCUGGGACAGCCUCGAACCCAAUCGGGGGGUUCAGACCCCCCAAACCCGGUUGGCCUCGGGUCGGACAAGAUUACCCGCUGAACUUAAGCAUAUCAGUAAGCGGAGGAAAAGAAACCAACAGGGAUUGCCCCAGUAACG
rnacentral:rRNA from 1 species